AUAUGACUCAUUUGUAAUACGCUUUGGAUAAAAGCGUCUGCUAAAUGACUAAAU
rfam:Danio rerio chromosome 14, GRCz11 reference primary assembly.